rnacentral:rRNA from 1 species
GGUUAAGCGACUAAGCGUACACGGUGGAUGCCCUGGCAGUCAGAGGCGAUGAAGGACGUGCUAAUCUGCGAUAAGCGUCGGUAAGGUGAUAUGAACCGUUAUAACCGGCGAUUUCCGAAUGGGGAAACCCAGUGUGUUUCGACACACUAUCAUUAACUGAAUCCAUAGGUUAAUGAGGCGAACCGGGGGAACUGAAACAUCUAAGUACCCCGAGGAAAAGAAAUCAACCGAGAUUCCCCCAGUAGCGGCGAGCGAACGGGGAGCAGCCCAGAGCCUGAAUCAGUGUGUGUGUUAGUGGAAGCGUCUGGAAAGGCGCGCGAUACAGGGUGACAGCCCCGUACACAAAAAUGCACAUGCUGUGAGCUCGAUGAGUAGGGCGGGACACGUGGUAUCCUGUCUGAAUAUGGGGGGACCAUCCUCCAAGGCUAAAUACUCCUGACUGACCGAUAGUGAACCAGUACCGUGAGGGAAAGGCGAAAAGAACCCCGGCGAGGGGAGUGAAAAAGAACCUGAAACCGUGUACGUACAAGCAGUGGGAGCACAGAGCAAUCUGUGUGACUGCGUACCUUUUGUAUAAUGGGUCAGCGACUUAUAUUCUGUAGCAAGGUUAACCGAAUAGGGGAGCCGAAGGGAAACCGAGUCUUAACUGGGCGUUAAGUUGCAGGGUAUAGACCCGAAACCCGGUGAUCUAGCCAUGGGCAGGUUGAAGGUUGGGUAACACUAACUGGAGGACCGAACCGACUAAUGUUGAAAAAUUAGCGGAUGACUUGUGGCUGGGGGUGAAAGGCCAAUCAAACCGGGAGAUAGCUGGUUCUCCCCGAAAGCUAUUUAGGUAGCGCCUCGUGAAUUCAUCUCCGGGGGUAGAGCACUGUUUCGGCAAGGGGGUCAUCCCGACUUACCAACCCGAUGCAAACUGCGAAUACCGGAGAAUGUUAUCACGGGAGACACACGGCGGGUGCUAACGUCCGUCGUGAAGAGGGAAACAACCCAGACCGCCAGCUAAGGUCCCAAAGUCAUGGUUAAGUGGGAAACGAUGUGGGAAGGCCCAGACAGCCAGGAUGUUGGCUUAGAAGCAGCCAUCAUUUAAAGAAAGCGUAAUAGCUCACUGGUCGAGUCGGCCUGCGCGGAAGAUGUAACGGGGCUAAACCAUGCACCGAAGCUGCGGCAGCGACGCUUAUGCGUUGUUGGGUAGGGGAGCGUUCUGUAAGCCUGCGAAGGUGUGCUGUGAGGCAUGCUGGAGGUAUCAGAAGUGCGAAUGCUGACAUAAGUAACGAUAAAGCGGGUGAAAAGCCCGCUCGCCGGAAGACCAAGGGUUCCUGUCCAACGUUAAUCGGGGCAGGGUGAGUCGACCCCUAAGGCGAGGCCGAAAGGCGUAGUCGAUGGGAAACAGGUUAAUAUUCCUGUACUUGGUGUUACUGCGAAGGGGGGACGGAGAAGGCUAUGUUGGCCGGGCGACGGUUGUCCCGGUUUAAGCGUGUAGGCUGGUUUUCCAGGCAAAUCCGGAAAAUCAAGGCUGAGGCGUGAUGACGAGGCACUACGGUGCUGAAGCAACAAAUGCCCUGCUUCCAGGAAAAGCCUCUAAGCAUCAGGUAACAUCAAAUCGUACCCCAAACCGACACAGGUGGUCAGGUAGAGAAUACCAAGGCGCUUGAGAGAACUCGGGUGAAGGAACUAGGCAAAAUGGUGCCGUAACUUCGGGAGAAGGCACGCUGAUAUGUAGGUGAAGUCCCUCGCGGAUGGAGCUGAAAUCAGUCGAAGAUACCAGCUGGCUGCAACUGUUUAUUAAAAACACAGCACUGUGCAAACACGAAAGUGGACGUAUACGGUGUGACGCCUGCCCGGUGCCGGAAGGUUAAUUGAUGGGGUCAGCGCAAGCGAAGCUCUUGAUCGAAGCCCCGGUAAACGGCGGCCGUAACUAUAACGGUCCUAAGGUAGCGAAAUUCCUUGUCGGGUAAGUUCCGACCUGCACGAAUGGCGUAAUGAUGGCCAGGCUGUCUCCACCCGAGACUCAGUGAAAUUGAACUCGCUGUGAAGAUGCAGUGUACCCGCGGCAAGACGGAAAGACCCCGUGAACCUUUACUAUAGCUUGACACUGAACAUUGAGCCUUGAUGUGUAGGAUAGGUGGGAGGCUUUGAAGUGUGGACGCCAGUCUGCAUGGAGCCGACCUUGAAAUACCACCCUUUAAUGUUUGAUGUUCUAACGUGGACCCGUAAUCCGGGUUGCGGACAGUGUCUGGUGGGUAGUUUGACUGGGGCGGUCUCCUCCUAAAGAGUAACGGAGGAGCACGAAGGUUGGCUAAUCCUGGUCGGACAUCAGGAGGUUAGUGCAAUGGCAUAAGCCAGCUUGACUGCGAGCGUGACGGCGCGAGCAGGUGCGAAAGCAGGUCAUAGUGAUCCGGUGGUUCUGAAUGGAAGGGCCAUCGCUCAACGGAUAAAAGGUACUCCGGGGAUAACAGGCUGAUACCGCCCAAGAGUUCAUAUCGACGGCGGUGUUUGGCACCUCGAUGUCGGCUCAUCACAUCCUGGGGCUGAAGUAGGUCCCAAGGGUAUGGCUGUUCGCCAUUUAAAGUGGUACGCGAGCUGGGUUUAGAACGUCGUGAGACAGUUCGGUCCCUAUCUGCCGUGGGCGCUGGAGAAUUGAGGGGGGCUGCUCCUAGUACGAGAGGACCGGAGUGGACGCAUCACUGGUGUUCGGGUUGUCAUGCCAAUGGCACUGCCCGGUAGCUAAAUGCGGAAGAGAUAAGUGCUGAAAGCAUCUAAGCACGAAACUUGCCCCGAGAUGAGUUCUCCCUGACUCCUUGAGAGUCCUGAAGGAACGUUGAAGACGACGACGUUGAUAGGCCGGGUGUGUAAGCGCAGCGAUGCGUUGAGCUAACCGGUACUAAUGAACCGUGAGGCUUAACCUU